GCGGACGUCAUAGGCAACAUCCACGAGUGCCGUGGGGAGGCGCUCUGGUUGCUGCGGAUUGACUACGAGGCCUCCGUCAAGAGCCUGGUAGGAUAACAAGGAGCACUAAACGAGAGCGAUGGGCAUCUUCUUCGACUCCAAGGUGGUUGGGUAUAGGUAAAGUGAGAAAGAAAGUAGAUGAAGAAGACAGAGGAAAGGACCAGAUAGCUAGUAGCUAGGUCAUUUUGCUGUGAUAAUGGUGAGUAGUAGUCGAGAUAAUAUUUGUAGGGAUGAUCAGCAGGUUUCGUAUGCCACGUUUGUGGUAUUUGUAGGAUGGGAUUGCUGGAGCUUUUUGUUGCUAUUGGGCAUCAGUAUUGCCUUAGCUGAAGCAUACGCGGAUUGCUUGGAUGGAAGUUGGAAGACCUGGGGGGAAUAGGCAAUGGAUGUGAUGAUAUAUAUACGCCUUGGUUGUUUGAAGAAUCUGUAUGCAGCUUUUGCUUUGUUUCUAGCUGUCAUGAGCAGCGGAGGUUUAAGAAUCUUGUAACUCCUCAUGAAUGUGUUGCGUAUGUAACUGUUGUCCCAGAUUUGGUUGAUGUUUACAGUUUGGUAUCUCUGUUUGAUUAUACCUCUGGCGGAGAUUGAUUGCGUGCGUGGUUUUGAAGUCCUCAAAGUUGAUCAUGUAAUUAAUGAUUGUUGCAUUUCUGUUCCUUUGGCUGUAAAUAUUAGUAAGUCGUAGAUUUGUGAAAAUUGUGAUGUAGCGAGACAGGAUGAUGUGCAAGGAAAUUUCUCA